rnacentral:rRNA from 1 species
GGGAUAACCUCGGGAAACUGGGGAUAAUACCCCAUAGACUAUGGAUGCUGGAAUGCUUUGUAGUUGAAAGGUCCGCCGCUUCAGGAUGGGUCUGCGGCCGAUUAGGUUGUUGUUGGGGUAACGGCCCAACAAGCCUGUAAUCGGUACGGGUUGUGGGAGCAAGAGCCCGGAGAUGGAUUCUGAGACACGAAUCCAGGCCCUACGGGGCGCAGCAGGCGCGAAAACUUUACAAUGCGAGCAAUCGUGAUAAGGGAACUCCGAGUGCCCGUAAAAUCGGGCUGUCCGCCAGUGUAAAUAACUGGUGAAGAAAGGGCCGGGCAAGACCGGCGCCAGCCGCCGCGGUAAUACCGGCGGCUCGAGUGGUGGCCACUAUUACUGGGCUUAAAGCGUUCGUAGCUGGUCUGUUAAGUCUCUGGGGAAAUCUUCCGGCUUAACCGGAAGGCGUCUCAGGGAUACUGACAGACUAGGGACCGGAAGAGGUGAGAGGUACUCCAGGGGUAGGAGUGAAAUCCUGUAAUCCUUGGGGGACCACCUGUGGCGAAGGCGUCUCACCAGGACGGCUCCGACAGUGAGGAACGAAAGCUGGGGGAGCAAACCGGAUUAGAUACCCGGGUAGUCCCAGCUGUAAACGAUGCGCGUUAGGUGUAUCGGUGACCACGAGUCACCGAGGUGCCGAAGAGAAAUCGUGAAACGCGCCGUCUGGGAAGUACGGUCGCAAGGCUGAAACUUAAAGGAAUUGGCGGGGGAGCACCACAACGGGUGGAGCCUGCGGUUUAAUCGGACUCAACGCCGGGAAACUCACCGGAUAAGACAGCUGAAUGAUUGCCGGGCUGAAGACUCUGCAUGACUAGCUGAGAGGAGGUGCAUGGCCGUCGUCAGUUCGUACUGUGAAGCAUCCUGUUAAGUCAGGCAACGAGCGAGACCCACGCCAACAGUUGCUAGCUCGUCCUCCGGGAUGGAGAGGACACUGUUGGGACCGCCUCUGCUAAAGAGGAGGAGGGAAUGGGCAACGGUAGGUCAGUAUGCCCCGAAUCUCCCGGGCUACACGCGGGCUACAAUGGGUGGGACAAUGGGUAUCGACACCGAAAGGUGAAGGCAAUCUCCUAAACCCAUCCUUAGUUCGGAUUGUGGGCUGUAACUCGC